UACAGAGGUCUCAAGCGUUGUUCGGAUUCAUUGGGCGUAAAGGGUGCGUAGGCGGCGCGGUAAGUCGGGUGUGAAAUCUCGGAGCUUAACUCCGAAACUGCAUUCGAUACUGCCGUGGCUUGAGUCCGGUAGAGGAGCAGGGAAUUCCUGGUGUAGCGGUGAAAUGCGCAGAUAUCAGGAGGAACACCAGCGGCGAAGGCGCUGCUCUGGGCCGGUACUGACGCUGAGGAGCGAAAGCGUGGGGAGCGAACAGG
rnacentral:rRNA from 1 species